UUAACCUACGGGGCGCAGCAGUGGGGAAUAUUGGACAAUGGGGGGAACCCUGAUCCAGCGACGCCGCGUGAGUGAAGAAGUAUUUCGGUAUGUAAAGCUCUAUCAGCAGGGAAGAAAAUGACGGUACCUGACCAAGAAGCCCCGGCUAACUACGUGCCAGCAGCCGCGGUAAUACGUAGGGGGCAAGCGUUAUCCGGAUUUACUGGGUGUAAAGGGAGCGUAGGCGGCUGUGUAAGCCAGAAGUGAAAGCCCGAGGCUCAACCACGGGACUGCUUUUGGAACUACAUGGCUUGAUUGCAGGAGAG
rnacentral:rRNA from 1 species